rnacentral:rRNA from 1 species
GAUGAACGCUGGCGGCGUGCUUAACACAUGCAAGUCGAACGGAAAGGCCCAAGCUUGCUUGGGUACUCGAGUGGCGAACGGGUGAGUAACACGUGGGUGAUCUGCCCUGCACUUCGGGAUAAGCCUGGGAAACUGGGUCUAAUACCGGAUAGGACCACAUUUUGGAUGGUGUGGUGGAAAGUUUUUCGGUGUGGGAUGAGCUCGCGGCCUAUCAGCUUGUUGGUGGGGUAAUGGCCUACCAAGGCGUCGACGGGUAGCCGGCCUGAGAGGGUGUACGGCCACAUUGGGACUGAGAGACGGCCCAGACUCCUACGGGAGGCAGCAGUGGGGAAUAUUGCACAAUGGGCGCAAGCCUGAUGCAGCGACGCCGCGUGGGGGAUGACGGCCUUCGGGUUGUAAACUCCUUUCGCUAGGGACGAAGCGUUUUUGUGACGGUACCUGGAGAAGAAGCACCGGCUAACUACGUG